rnacentral:misc_RNA from 1 species
UGAAGGUGAGCGCUAGCGCAGUCAGCCAUUGCUUUUCUGGGCGGUGGAUCGUGAGGGGCCGAGUUGGUGGGUUGCUGAAUACCUGCUGUGUGGCGUGUACCUACUACAUACUUACUUACAUACUUCAACAGAUUUCAAGUCUAAAACGAAAGAUCUCUGCAAGCUGCGAAAAUGAUGUCCAGAAGGCGUGUCGGGAUUGUUGGCUUCGGGAACUUAGGGCAGAGCAUCUUCAAUGCCAUUCUGAAUGAGCCAUCAUUGGAGGUGGUAUUUGUAUGGAACCGAACCAAGGAUGUUCUGAGGGGCAUAGGUGGCUUAGCUCUAGAUAAUCUGGAGCAGUUUGCUGAGAGGGAGCCUGAUCUGGUUGUUGAGGUAGCUCAUCCAUCCAUAACAGCUCGGUACGGCGCGCUGUUCCUGUCUGUCUGCGACUACCUGAUCGGCUCUCCGACGGCGCUGGCCGACGGCCUACUGGAGAAGGGACUGCGAGACGUAGCCUCCACAUCCGGACACGCCAUCUACAUCUCCGCCGGCGCGCUCUGGGGUGGCGAGGACAUCAAGAAGAUGGCCGAUCUGGACACACUCAAGGGUCUGCGUGUGACGAUGCGGAAGCACCCGGAGUCGUACCGUCUGACGGGUCAGCUGGCCGAGCUGGCCGCCGAGGCCGCCGAUUCUGACCAGGAGGUGACCCUGUACGAGGGACCGGUGCGCGAGCUCUGUCCGCUGGCGCCGCACAAUGUCAACACAAUGGCGGCCGCCGCGCUGGCCGCGCACAACCUCGGCUUCGACGGCGUCAUCGGCCGGCUGGUCGCCGACCCCAGCAUCCCGGACAUGCACAUUGUGGAGGUGGAGGUGACCGGUCCGGGCGAGCCGGGAGCGGAGUUCACCGUUCGCACCGUGAGGAACAACCCGGCCGCGCUGGGUGCCGUCACCGGCGCCGCCACGUUCUCGGCUUUCAUCUCCAGCGUCCGGCGUGCGCACGGCCGCGGCGCCGGCGGCAUCCACCUCUGCUGAGCGGCGUCCGGACGGAGCGCUACUGCACGCCGGAGAUGUGCGUUCGAGACUGCCCAGGACCGUCCAGUCUUCCAUCCGCGGUUCUGGCACCUCAAUGUGAGUGAUUUGGAUCUGAGUUUAUUUCUGUCUUCGGAGAUGUCCUUCCGUUUGGUUUUGAUGGCCCCGAAGUGCGGUGGAAUGUCUGGGGAACGACUUGCGCGGCUUCGUUUGCUCUCUGACGUGUAAAAGGCAUGCCACUUGCGAUUUCUGCUCGUCUUUCGAAGCACGGUCUUUACAAGAUAGUUGCUCAUAUGGCUUGUGCCGGUGAUGUGGCCGCGUACUCGGUUGAUCUGUCUCAUCGAAUCCUCAUUGUUCUGACAGGUUACCUAUCUCGAAAUUAGGGUCGUUCAGUCCGUAGUAUUGUAGUAGUGAGCUAGUGAGUAGUUUGUGUGGGAAUGGGCUAGUGAGCGGCGUUAUAAAGUGCACAUUUUCUUCCUCAGAGCGAUAUCACAUGCUCUUUAAACCGGCUUGUCACAAGCGGUCGGGAGUUCGCCAGACUCCCGAGUCAGGAUAGAUGUGGAGCGAGUCAGGCUGUUUAGCUGAGCAGUUGCUGUGUCGUAGAACUAAGGUCACUCCACGGAAGUUUGCUAGAUCCGUUGUGUAGAACAAUAGGGCCUCAGUGUUGCUGGCGGUAGCUGCCACUGCUCUACUGGCUCAAGCGACACUAUUUGCUUGCAUAUCUUGGCACUGUGCCGGCCCCCCGGCCUUCUACUGCACGCCACGGGCACGCGCGCUUCUAGACCGGCCUGGACCGGCCGGCAGAUACCGGUGCUUCCUAGACUGCCUACCAGAGUCAGUGUCCUGCCAGUUCCGUCUUCAGUCCUGUAUACGGUAUGCGUAUGACUUGAUGCAAUGUGCAAUGCUUACAGCGGUGCUAUGUCAGCGGCUAAGUUAGGUGAUAACUUAAUCGCAAGUCAAAGCAAUACAGUCUCGUGUUUCUACAACAAUGUUAACAGAUAGUGGUACAAUGUAAUCUGGGCAUAUUUAUUUGGAGCCGGAAUGCCCUAGCUUGCCAGGUGCUUGGAAUGAAUAUGAUCUGAUUAUCAUGGCUCUUCCCACCGUCGUUUUUCUAUCUUUGUAGUGAGUAUCUCUCUCGUAUUGUGCCUUGGAGGACUGUCAGCAUUGUGUCGUAGUGCCAAAUGCAUUCCCAGGGCUGAUUUUCAUCGACUGAGUACGAUCCCAACAUCCCACCGCCCAGCGGUGCGGCUUCCCGGAAGACUUGUUUCCCUUUUGGGAUUGUGUUUUGUACAGCGUGUUCUCGGCUGUCGACUUUGUCGUCGCUUAUCCGCGUGAAUUAUCGGGGUGUGCAAUGUGCAAGCUUUGCUAAUAAAGUCAGUUUUUGCGG